GGAAAGAGACGGAGCGGUGAUACCAUCAGAAAGAGAUGACGUAAGAUGCUCUCAGUGACAGGACAACCACAGACAGAGAAGAAGGAAGGCGGGGUCACAUGGUGACAUGGCCAGGCUGGCGGCCCAAAGUUCCCAUCCUGACCGGGGUCACCAACAACCGCCGAUGGUUCGAUGGGAAGAGCACUCUGCAAGGAGGUGCCUGCUCUUGAGCGGGUCACACAGCAGGAGAGACACUGACAUACGGUGAGUGAUAAAGGGACAGGAGAGGAGGGACUGACGCUAAGACGGGGCGUCAAUGCCUCUCCUCCACAAGACCACUCAGCAGGCAACCGACCUCGGGGGUCUCCCUGCGGUACCCACAGGUCCCCCGACCCGCCGCUCCUAGGCCCCCAGAAUACCGGCCCUCCCCGUGCCUCUCCAGUGUGCCCUUGGGGGCAGCCCGCUCCCGGGCCCACACCGCGCCCCAGGAUGAGUCCUGCGUCUGGCAGUACCACAUCCACGGCCCAAACCCGCUCCUCUGCUCUCUGCCUGCAGCCAGUUCCCUUCGAGGAGCUGCCCAGGGGUUCCAGUAAGUCGCCCUGCCCAGAUCCGCACACACCGGUCCCUGGGGCGCCGGCAGUUCCCGUCACUACUGGUAGCUGCCAGCCAGUUACAGGGACCCGCAUGAAAGGAGGCGUUCACGGGCUUGAUGUCACCGAUCGGCUUGUAUGGAGGCAUUAUUCCCAAGGUUCACCACACCCAGAUAAUACAGGCUUCAGGAGAGGGAGGGGACAUGUUUCAGGAGGGAGAGAAAGCCAUCUGCCCUCAGGACCUGUGACUCAGCCUCUCUCCUCGUAGGGACGAAGCAAGAAACGAUGGCUGAGAGCCUCCCAUGCACCUGGCACUUCAUCCCUGAGAGGCUCAACCCAGCACCUUUGAGCUAGGUACUGUCACACCCACUUUGCAGAUAUGGAAACUGAGGUAAAGGCAGGUUGAAUAAAUACCAGCCCCAAGAUUGACCCCAGAGGACUCUGGAUCAGACUUGGCACUGAUUCCUCCAAGUUCAGCACUGCCUGCCUGCUCCAUUCAGGCAGAAAGCACAAAGGCACCAAACAGGAUCCGAGGGGGAAUCAGACCCGUGUGAACAGUCUACAAAUGGACUAUUCUGUCCCAGCCUCAGAGCUUCUUAGGUAUAUGGCCUGUACUACACUGGCCACUAAGUUAUUUUGGAGAAGUAGCUGAGGGUGGCAGGAAUAAAGCAAGCUCACAAGGCAGAGACUGGAGCUGAAAUUCAGACUCUGCCCCUGUGCAAGCGUGAGCAAGUUGCCUAACCUACAUACUGGUCCUUAGCAAAGAGCCUGUACCAUCACGCCCGCAUGGGCUGGCCAUCCAGGAAAUGCUGGUUCUUAUUCUUUCUUCCGCUCUGUAAUAAGAUAAGAACCCACACUUAGUCAUGCUGUAUGUUCUAAGAAUGUAAGAAUAUAGUUAGGGAGCUAGAUAGCCAAGCCAUUCCCUGAAACUGUCAAAAAUGAGGCAGCCAACUGCAAACAAGCAGGAUAACAUGGGAGGAAAAAAUACUCAGGUUUCCUCUCAUGUAAAAGUGCCAUUAAAAACAAAUCUUCAGGAGUGUAGUAACAGGAGAAAGACAGGAGUGGUGGAAAAAAAUCGCCGUGGCUCAAGGUCACAGAAAUGCUCUACAUCAGAUUUCACCCCAAUUCCUAUGCCACCGGCCACCUCGCGUGAGCCAGCCAGAGUUCCAGAAACCCUCAUAUCACCACCAU
rnacentral:lncRNA from 1 species